rnacentral:lncRNA from 1 species
GCCACCUGCCGGGCUGCGCUGGGCAGCGCGCAGGUGCGCCGGCAGGAGCGGCCGCUGCCGAGCAAGGGGGAAGGCGAGACACGGAGGCGACUCCUGCGUGGGAUGGAGCCAGACCUGGCACCGGCCGAACACGACUUAAGUGACAGAACUGGGGCUGAGGAAUCUGAAAAAGAGAAAGACAAAGGAAAUGCUAAGAAUAUUGACAGCAAGAAGGGGAAUGGUGGGAACCUGUGACUCGAGUGAGCAAGGUAUACAGAUCUGCCUAGUUCACCAGACACUGCAUGCAGGCUACCAUCAAGUGGAGUUUGGAGCCAGUCACUGCCACAUGCAAGGUAUGGAUGGACAACAGACACCAACAGAGAGUUUGCACAUUUUACAACCAAAGCUAUUCCAGUUCUCCUGCAACGCAGCCCUGGCUGACCCUGACAAGCCAACGAAGGGAGAGGCAUUAGCAAUGGAUAUAAUCACACAGAACUAUGCAAAUUGCACCCAUACUAUCUAAAAGACUGACAAUGAAGAGACAGCUAGUGCUGAAAGACCAUGUUAAUGAAUAUUUGUACAAUUG